rnacentral:rRNA from 1 species
UACGGGGGGGGCAAGCGUUGUUCGGAAUUACUGGGCGUAAAGGGCUCGUAGGCGGCCAACUAAGUCAGACGUGAAAUCCCCAGGCUCAACCUGGGAACUGCGUCUGAUACUGGAUGGCUUGAAUCCGGGAGGGGGAUGCAGAAUUCCAGGUGUAGCGGUGAAAUGCGUAGAUAUCUGGAGGAAUACCGGUGGCGAAGGCGGCAUCCUGGACCGGCAUUGACGCUGAGGAGCGAAAGCUAGGGGAGCAAACGGG